rnacentral:rRNA from 1 species
AAAACUUUCAACAACGGAUCUCUUGGUUCUGGGCACGAUGAAAACGCACCGAAAUGCGAUAAGUAAUGUGAAUUGCAAAUUCUGAAUCAUCAAUCUUUGAACGCACAUUGCGCCCCCUGGUAUUCCAGGGGGCACCCUGUUCCAGCGCCAUUU